rnacentral:rRNA from 1 species
GAUGAACGCUGGCGGCGUGCCUAAUACAUGCAAGUCGAGCGAACGGACGAGAAGCUUGCUUCUCUGAUGUUAGCGGCGGACGGGUGAGUAACACGUGGAUAACCUACCUAUAAGACUGGGAUAACUUCGGGAAACCGGAGCUAAUACCGGAUAAUAUUUUGAACCGCAUGGUUCAAAAGUGAAAGACGGUCUUGCUGUCACUUAUAGAUGGAUCCGCGCUGCAUUAGCUAGUUGGUAAGGUAACGGCUUACCAAGGCAACGAUGCAUAGCCGACCUGAGAGGGUGAUCGGCCACACUUGAACUGAGACACGGUCCAGACUCCUACGGGAGGCAGCAGUAGGGAAUCUUCCGCAAUGGGCGAAAGCCUGACGGAGCAACGCCGCGUGAGUGAUGAAGGUCUUCGGAUCGUAAAACUCUGUUAUUAGGGAAGAACAUAUGUGUAAGUAACUGUGUACAUCUUGACGGUACCUAAUCAGAAAGCCACGGCUAACUACGUG